UACGGAGGAUCCAAGCGUUAUCCGGAUUUAUUGGGUUUAAAGGGUGCGCAGGCGGGACAUUAAGUCAGGGGUGAAAGACGGUGCUCAACAAUCGCAGUGCCUUUGAUACUGGUGUUCUUGGGUGACGGUGAGGUAGGCGGAAUGGGUGGUGUAGCGGUGAAAUGCAUAGAUACCACCCAGAACUCCGAUUGCGAAGGCAGCCUACUGGUCGUUAACCGACGCUCAGGCACGAAAAGCGUGGGGAUCAAACAGG
rnacentral:rRNA from 1 species